CCAGACUCCUACGGGAGGCAGCAGUGAGGAAUAUUGGUCAAUGGGCUUACGCCUGAACCAGCCAAGUCGCGUGAGGGAAGACUGCCCUAUGGGUUGUAAACCUCUUUUGUCAGGGAGCAACGCCGGCUACGUGUAGCCGGACUGAGAGUACCUGAAGAAAAAGCAUCGGCUAACUACGUGCCAGCAGCCGCGGUAAUACGUAGGGAGCGAGCGUUGUCCGGAAUUACUGGGUGUAAAGGGAGCGUAGGCGGGAUUGCAAGUUGGAUGUGAAAACUGCGGGCUCAACCCGGAGCGUGCAUUCAAAACUGCGAUUCUUGAGUGAAGUAGAGGCAAGCGGAAUUCCUAGUGUAGCGGUGAAAUGCGUAGAUAUUAGGAGGAACACCAGUGGCGAAGGCGGCUUGCUGGGCUUUUACUGACGCUGAGGCUCGAAAGUGUGGGGAGCAAACAGGAUUAGAUACCCUUGUA
rnacentral:rRNA from 1 species